rnacentral:rRNA from 1 species
AGGCGUCGACGGGUAGCCGGCCUGAGAGGGUGACCGGCCACACUGGGACUGAGACACGGCCCAGACUCCUACGGGAGGCAGCAGUGGGGAAUAUUGCACGAUGGGCGCAAGCCUGAUGCAGCAACGCCGCGUGAGGGAUGACGGCCUUCGGGUUGUAAACCUCUUUUAGCAGGGAAGAAGCGAGAGUGACGGUACCUGCAGAAAAAGCACCGGCUAACUACGUGCCAGCAGCCGCGGUAAUACGUAGGGUGCAAGCGUUAUCCGGAAUUAUUGGGCGUAAAGAGCUCGUAGGCGGUUUGUCGCGUCUGCUGUGAAAUCUGGGGGCUCAACCCCCAGCCUGCAGUGGGUACGGGCAGACUAGAGUGCGGUAGGGGAGAUUGGAAUUCCUGGUGUAGCGGUGGAAUGCGCAGAUAUCAGGAGGAACACCGAUGGCGAAGGCAGAUCUCUGGGCCGUUACUGACGCUGAGGAGCGAAAGGGUGGGGAGCAAACAGGCUUAGAUACCCUGGUAGUCCACCCCGUAAACGUUGGGAACUAGUUGUGGGGUCCAUUCCACGGAUUCCGUGACGCAGCUAACGCAUUAAGUUCCCCGCCUGGGGAGUACGGCCGCAAGGCUAAAACUCAAAGGAAUUGACGGGGACCCGCACAAGCGGCGGAGCAUGCGGAUUAAUUCGAUGCAACGCGAAGAACCUUACCAAGGCUUGACAUAUACGAGAACGGGCCAGAAAUGGUCAACUCUUUGGACACUCGUAAACAGGUGGUGCAUGGUUGUCGUCAGCUCGUGUCGUGAGAUGUUGGGUUAAGUCCCGCAACGAGCGCAACCCUCGUUCUAUGUUGCCAGCACGUAAUGGUGGGAACUCAUGGGAUACUGCCGGGGUCAACUCGGAGGAAGGUGGGGAUGACGUCAAAUCAUCAUGCCCCUUAUGUCUUGGGCUUCACGCAUGCUACAAUGGCCGGUACAAUGGGCUGCAAUACCGUGAGGUGGAGCGAAUCCCAAAAAGCCGGUCCCAGUUCGGAUUGAGGUCUGCAACUCGACCUCAUGAAGUCGGAGUCGCUAGUAAUCGCAGAUCAGCAACGCUGCGGUGAAUACGUUCCCGGGUCUUGUACACACCGCCCGUCAAGUCAUGAAAGUCGGUAACACC